UGGGGAAUUUUGGACAAUGGGGGAAACCCUGAUCCAGCCAUCCCGCGUGUGCGAUGAAGGCCUUCUGGUUGUAAAGCACUUUUGGCAGGAAAGAAACGUCAUGGGUUAAUACCCCGUGAAACUGACGGUACCUGCAGAAUAAGCACCGGCUAACUACGUGCCAGCAGCCGCGGUAAUACGUAGGGUGCAAGCGUUAAUCGGAAUUACUGGGCGUAAAGCGUGCGCAGGCGGUUCGGAAAGAAAGAUGUGAAAUCCCAGAGCUCAACUUUGGAACUGCAUUUUUAACUACCGGGCUAGAGUGUGUCAGAGGGAGGUGGAAUUCCGCGUGUAGCAGUGAAAUGCGUAGAUAUGCGGAGGAAUACCGAUGGCGAAGGCAGCCUCCUGAGAUAACACUGACGCUCAUGCACGAAAGCGUGGGGAGCAAACAGG
rnacentral:rRNA from 1 species